rnacentral:rRNA from 1 species
GACGAACGCUGGCGGCAUGCCUAACACGUGCAAGUCUAGGGUGUAGCAAUACACACUGGCGCACGGGUGAGUAACGCGUAGAUCAUCUGCCCCUAUCACCGACAUAACUCUUGGAAACGGGAGCUAAUAUCGGAUGAGGUGAGCAAUCAUCAAAGUUUCGACGGAUAGGGAUGAGUCUGCGUCUGAUUAGGUAGUUGGUGAGGUAAUGGCUCACCAAGCCUACGAUCAGUAGCUGGUCUGAGAGGACGAACAGCCACACUGGAACUGAGACACGGUCCAGACUCCUACGGGAGGCAGCAGUGAGGAAUAUUGGACAAUGGGAGCAAUCCUGAUCCAGCAAUGCCGCGUGUGGGAUGACGGGGCUUUGCCUUGUAAACCACUGUCGGACGGGACGAGAAGAGGUAAGAACCUCUGGGACGGUACCGUCAAAGGAAGGAUCGGCUAACUACGUGCCAGCAGCCGCGGUAA